ensembl:snRNA U6 U6 spliceosomal RNA
GUGCUCGCUUCGGCAGCACAUAUACUAAAAUUGGAACGAUGCAGAGAAGAUUAGCAUGGCCCCUGCACAAGGAUGACAUGCAAAUUUGUGAAGCGUUCCAUAUUUUU